AGACUACCUCCUACCUGUCUCCGUGCUCGGGCUGUGAGCGCCUCCCCGGCCAAUUCGCUGAGGAUGCUGGGAAGCAGAUGGAGGCUUGCACCCAGGGGAGAAAACCCAGCAACAGCAGAGACAACUGCAAGCCUCCGCCCCUCCCAGUUCAGCCCCAUCUUCCUGGCCAGGCCCUCACUUUUAGCCACAGUCUCAGUCCAGCCUCACCCUGUGCCUGGGAAGUGAAGAAAGGCACUUCUAAACAAAGCUCAAGUGGCGGUUGGCUCCCCGCCUGGCCCAAAGGAGCCAGACUCGGCUAAUAGCAACGCAGCCUCCGACGACCCUUCACACUCUUCCCACACUGCCAAUGUCUGUUAUUGGCCCGGCUCCCACGGGAGCUUCGGCAACCACAGGGCCUCAGGCCACUCUGGAAGAAAGGACUCUGGUGGCUGUGGAAACUGGGGUCUGGGCUGGGAGCAGCUCUUCCACAGGCGAUGGCACUGGGGAGCAGCCUCUGUGUGUGUGUGUGUGUGUGUGUGUGUGUGUAGACAUAUCUAAGCACAACCCUCAGUUUCUUCAUCUGCAAAUGGUGGUGGUAAAAGCAGGUUUGGACUAGAUCGAUGGUUUUCUAACCUUUGUCUUUUGAACAGCUUCUCUUUUUCGCAAGUCAUCUUGUAU
ensembl:lncRNA